rnacentral:ncRNA from 2 species
ACGGCGGGUCGUGACUGGCGCGCUGGGAUGGGACGGACCAUCGGGGAGCGGCCCGUGAGCAGCAGAGUGCCGUGCGCCUGGGCCGAACCG